UACGUAGGGUGCAAGCGUUAAUCGGAAUUACUGGGCGUAAAGCGUGCGCAGGCGGUGAUGUAAGACAGAUGUGAAAUCCCCGGGCUCAACCUGGGAACUGCAUUUGUGACUGCAUCGCUGGAGUGCGGCAGAGGGGGAUGGAAUUCCGCGUGUAGCAGUGAAAUGCGUAGAUAUGCGGAGGAACACCGAUGGCGAAGGCAGCCCCCUGGGUUAACACUGACGCUCAUGCACGAAAGCGUGGGGAGCAAACAGG
rnacentral:rRNA from 1 species